ensembl:miRNA
UCCUGUUCCCGUUUUUCACAUGUGUACUGAUGUUUGAUCAUAUGUUGGACAACGUGGAUAGCACCCGUGAG